CCUACGGGAGGCAGCAGUGGGGAAUAUUGCACAAUGGGGGAAACCCUGAUGCAGCGACGCCGCGUGAGUGAAGAAGUAAUUCGUUAUGUAAAGCUCUAUCAGCAGGGAAGAAAAUGACGGUACCUGAGGAAGAAGCCCCGGCUAACGACGAGCCAGCAGGCGCGGGAAGACGGGGGAUGCAAGCGGUAUCCGGAUUUAUUGGGGUUAAAGGGUGCGUAGGCAGUGAGGUAAGUCAGCGGUGAAAUGCCCCCGAUCAACGGUGUGAAGUGCUAUUGUUACUGCCUUGCUGGAAUGCGGAUGCCGUGUGCGUAAUGUGUUGUGUAGCGGUGCACUGCAUAGAUAUCACCCAGAACACCGAUUGCGAAGGCAUCUCACGAAUCCGCGAUUGACGCUGAUGCACG
rnacentral:rRNA from 1 species